GUCACUCACGUUGCUUGCCGGGAAUUGUAGUUUAGUCUGGAUCGGUUUUACCUCUUUCCCCACUUUGGGGCCCAAGCAAAAGAAUGUGAAAGACCACCUUUCCUAGGAUGCACUGCGGUGCGUUCAGCUCCACUUCCUCCUUAGACGGAGGGAAGGAUACACAGACGCUUGUGUGGUAAAAGGCAAGUUAAAGGGGAUGGUGGUCGGAAAUAGAGGUCUGGAGUUCACGACUUCUCUAGAAGGAGGGGAGGGGACUGAAAGGCUCCCGGUGAAGAAGAGUUUCUAGUAUGGCGCUUCUAAACUUCCUGGAUUGCUUUCAACAAACCUGAUGAUGAAACUGAUGCACAGUGGGGUUAAGUAACUUGCCCAGUGUUUCACUGCUGAUACUGCAUUUUUUACAAAUUGAAGGUUUGUGGCAACCCUGCAUCUAAGUGAAUUUCUGGCUCCAUUUUCUAACAGCAUUUGCUCAUUUUGUGUCUCUGUGUCUACUCCUGGUGGAGAUGCUGUGAAGAUUGUUGAAAUGACAACAAAGGAUUUAGAAUGUUGCAUAACUUUGUUGAUAAAGCAUCAAGAUUGUUUGAGAGGACUGACUCCAGUUUUGAAAGGAGUUUUCCCGUGGGUAAAAUGCUACCAAACAGCAUUGCAUGCUACAGAGAAAUCAUCUGUGAAAGGAGGAGUCAGUGUGGCACAUUUCACUAUUGUCUUAAGAAAUUUCCACAACCACUCCAGCAUCCACCACUCUGAUCAGUCAGCAGCCAACAGCAUUGAGGCAAGACCCUCCACCAGCAAAAAGAAUCUAACUCACUAAAGGCUCAGAUAAUGCUUAGCAUUUUUGAGCAAUAAAGUAUUUUUAAAUUAAGCCACACUGGCCUCCUGGUUGAUCCUCAAACACUCCAAGUACAUUCUUGUCUCAAGGCAUUUGAACUUGCUCUUCUGCUGCUUGGAAAACUCUUCCCCAGGCAUCCUGACCAAACCCACACCUUUCUGGGUUGAACCUGUGACUUUGAUUUUACAGGAUGACACCCAACCAACUGAGCCACAUAGGUCAAGGUUCAGAACCUUUCAGAUCAACUUACCAGUAAGUUCAGUAUGUGAAACAGAUAAACAUAGUUGAAAUGGGACAAGAUAAGAGUUACUUCAACCUGCCAGCAUUCCCUGCCCUCAUUCCUACUCUGCACAGAAGAAGCUCCGGGGGGUACUUUGGAAGCCAUUGGAAAAAAAUCAUUCCCUCAUAAAUGACUUGAAAUGCCACAUCUGUAAUAUGCUACAUUAAAACGUUUACUUAUUCCAA